rnacentral:rRNA from 1 species
UGAGGAAUAUUGGUCAAUGGGCGAGAGCCUGCACCAGCCAAGUAGCGUGCAGGAUGACGGCCCUAUGGGUUGUAAACUGCUUUUAUGUGGGGAUAAAGUGCGUGACGUGUCAUGCAUUGCAGGUACCACAUGAAUAAGGACCGGCUAAUUCCGUGCCAGCAGCCGCGGUAAUACGGAAGGUCCGGGCGUUAUCCGGAUUUAUUGGGUUUAAAGGGAGCGUAGGCUGUCUAUUAAGCGUGUUGUGAAAUUUACCGGCUCAACCGGUGGCUUGCAGCGCGAACUGGUCGAGUUGAGUAUGCAGGAAGUAGGCGGAAUUCAUGGUGUAGCGGUGAAAUGCUUAGAUAUCAUGACGAACUCCGAUUGCGCAGGCAGCUUACUGUGGCAUAACUGACGCUGAUGCUCGAAAGUGCGGGUAUCAAACAGG